rnacentral:rRNA from 1 species
GUCCACGCCGUAAACGAUGUCAACUAGUCGUCGGGGACUUCGGUCUUUGGUGGCGCAGCUAACGCGUGAAGUUGACCGCCUGGGGAGUACGGCCGCAAGGUUAAAACUCAAAUGAAUUGACGGGGGCCCGCACAAGCGGUGGAGCAUGUGGUUUAAUUCGAUGCAACGCGAACAACCUUACCUACCCUUGACAUCCUCGGAACUUGGCAGAGAUGCCUUGGUGCCUUCGGGAACCGAGAGACAGGUGCUGCAUGGCUGUCGU